rnacentral:sRNA from 1 species
AGCUGGUGCAUCUAGCGGCUUUCUCCUCCCCAGCCGCUGCAGCAGCUGUUCCCCUCUGGAGGUUUGAAACCUUCACAACUGAAAGGGCCCAAGUUUCUUGUGGCCCUCUUUUUUUGUCGGCA